rnacentral:lncRNA from 1 species
GAGGAACCGGGGUGUAGUUCGCUUAGCCGUCGUGCCGUUAAUGGGGCUCGGUGUAUGCGGCUUGCUCUGCCAAGUUUGGUUCGCCCCUUGGGGAGGAGUGCGGUGCAUUUAGGAAACCUAACGGGUGGCUACAGCCUCGGGGAAUCUUUGUAAAGGCUACGUAGUGAAACCCUGCCUAUUCACCUUGGGAGUGUUUAAUGGUUUGAUCGGCCCGAGGCAAGAGGGAAUCACGGCUUGUGGGUAAAGUGCGCAACCUCUGCAGAGUGUUAUGAAACUGAUAUAUCAGCUGUGCUCGCGGUUAUGAGCGGCCAAGGGAGCUCCAUUGAUUAGUGAUACUUGAUCAGAGAUGGUUGGUUUACAGAUGAUGAUGAGGAUGGUUAUGAUCAUGCUUAUGGUAAUGGUAAGUGGUAUUCUUUCCAUUUGGAAAGAGUACUUUGGGUUAAGAACUUGGGUUAAUGCUAAAACCUGGCUUUCUACUAGUAAUAAUAACCUGACCAACUAAAAGCAACUGCUUGACUUAACCUCACAUAAAGCUAGUCCACUACAGCCAAACGGGACAUUUGUUGAGUACGUUGAUGUGUACUCACCCUUGCUUUCACAAAACACCAGGUUGCCUUUGGUGCAAUCUAUGCUCAGGUAAAGAAGGCGUCGAGGCGGAUCUCUAGGAGUUCCAGGACGUCGACGAGUUCGAGGAUUAGGCUAGCGACCUCCCCAGUCAGCUGCCUGUGGUGGGUUGUUUACGUUGGCUACGUUUCGAUUCUGUGUACUUUGAUUUAUAUUAUGUAAAUGGCUCUAGUCUGUAAUAUUAUUACUUACUCUUUAUUGUAAUUCGAAGCAUUGUGCUAUGAUGAGUCAUUUAUGUAAUCGCUGUGUACGUGAAUUACUGAUCCUGGCACGUACAUGGUUCGCAUUCGGUUUACCUUCAAAACCGGGUGUGACAUAAGUGGUAUCAAAGCCGUGCUGAAUGUAGGACCGCUGACCUAGAGUAGCAUUGGCCGUUUUAAGGACUUAUUGAUUAUUACUUCAUCUCAUCCUUGAUUAUGCUUCAAAAUAUUAGUCACCUCGACUAAUUCUAUGUUGUGCUCCUAUAUGCCCCCUUGCCAAAAAAGUAUUUUAUUCUAGUAUGGUCUAUACUUCUCUCAAUCUAUUAGAUCUGAUCUUAUCUUGUGCUUGCGACAUCUUUGUAGAUGCCCCUGACCAUAGCCUUUAGUCUUUUGGGACUCUUUCCUCAUCCAUUAUUAAAUUGCUACUAUUUGACCAUCUCUAUUCCAUUUUGUUAUUGACAUGCUCGUAUCCUUGCAUUUUUAAUACCCUUAUCCCUUAAUCUAAAGCACUUACCCUUGUACCUCUACUACCUAUUUAAACAUUUCAGUUUAUAUGUCCAUGAUCUUACUGUCUUUUGAGACCCUUUCCUAUUCUAUUGAUAAGUCGCUAUCUGUUUGGCAAUUUGUACUUUCUUGGUCUUGGUAUGCUCGUACCAUUGGAAUCUUGCAUACUCUUAUUUUUUUAUAUGUGCUUACCUUUAUAUCCCAAUAUAUGUUUAAGACAUUUCAGUUAACGUGCCCUUGACCACCCUUGUUUCUUAAUGAUCCAUGAGCGGUCAUUCUACUUUGCAUAUCCUUGGUGAUCCCGUUGUCUCCAUGUAACUCCACUCGGUAAUGAAUCUUUACUUCAACCCUUCUGUUGGAACCUUACCGAUCUUACCCUUGAUUGUUUUCUCCACUUUGUCGUUUCGCGAGUCUUGUCUUAACUAUAUCCUUUGUUAUUCUUUUUAAUUGUUAUCAUAUGCACCCUUGACACAUCUAUAUCCUACAUUGAUGUUUGUCUCAUACAUGCCCUUUAAAAUCGCCCCUCUUUCAUCUCAUACCUUCUUUCUCUUGGUCGUAUCCUCUUCUUUGGCUCGCGAGUUUGUAACCUCAUCCUUUGUUGUGCUUUUGUUUCUUAUUGCCUUUACCCUUCUCAUCUCUCAAUCUUACCUUGGUGAUUACGCUAUGUUCGUUAUCUAAAACCUCCAAUCUCCCACCUUAUUUCAAGUGUGGUCUCUUACUUAUCUCACCCGUGGUUAUAUCCUAUACUUUACCUCUUGCAAGACUUAUCUUAUCUCUAUUCUUGAUUGUACCUAGAUUCCUGGUUUUUUAUGCACAUUUACCUCUUCCUUUAUAUCCUUGCCUAUCAUCACCUUUGACCCUUGACCUCUCUCCAUAUUUACCAUGAUGCUUACCUAUUUCUUAGCCUCACUUAUUCCAUUUCAAUCCGAGAGUGUUAUUUUCCCUAUCCUGCUCUUGUUCGUUUCCUUUCCCUUUGUCGCUUUGCAAGUCUUGUCUUACCUUAACUUCAUCCUUUGUGUAGCUUUUGUUUGAUAUCAUCCUUACCUUUGUAAUCUGUAGAUCUUGCCUUGAUACUUAUCUUAGGUCUGCUUGUUGAAAUCCCCUCUUUUCUAUCUCAAUUCGAGAGAUAUGUUUUACUUAUCUCACCCUUGACUAUAUCCUCUUCUUUACCGCGUGUAGGCCUAGACUUAACUCCAUUCGUUAUUGUAUUUGUACCACUUGCUCUUCUAUGCCUUUAUCUUUUCUCUUACACCCUUGUCCGUUAUCGCCUUUGGCCCUUGCGAUAUUUAUGUCUUCUACCUAAAUGCUUACCUUAAACUUAUCCUUUAAAUCCUCCCCUUUCUUUCAACCCAGUUUGAGAGUUGCGAGUUACCUACCUCUCCCUUGAUUUCUUUUCACUUCUUGUCGCCUUACAAGUUUUGUUUCAAUUCCAUCCUUUGCUAUGUGUUUUAUUUGCUAUCACCACCUCCUUGUCAUCCAUCAAUCUUGCCUUGAUACUCAUCUUUAUUCUGGCUCUUUAAAAUCUCCUCUCUUCCACCUCAAUUGGAGAGUGGUUGUUUACCUAUCUGGCCAUUGGACGUACCUCCUUCUUUUUCAUCUGCAGGUCUUGUCUUAACUCCAUCCUUUGUGGUAAUUAUAUCCUUGGUUAUCAUGCGCAUUUAUCUCCUCUCCUACAUCCUUGUCCGUUAUCACCUUUAAACCCUCGUGAUAUCUAUGCCCUUGCCCUCAUGCUUACUUUGAACCUACCCUUUAAAGCCUGCUAUUUUUCAUCACUGUUUGAGGAUAAUGCCUCACCUACUUCACCAUUGAUUGCUUCCCCUUCUUUGAUGCCUCACAAGUUUUGUCUAAAAUACAUCCUUGGUUGUGUUUGUCUGUUAUCACCUUAACCCUUGUCAUCCCUUGAUCUUUACCAUGAUGCUUGUCUUGCACCUGCAUUUUAAAGCCUCCUCUCCCAUUUCAUUUCAAGAGUGAUGUCUUGCCUAUCCCGCUCUUGUUCAUUCCCUUUUUCCUCUGUCGCAUUGCAAGUCUUGUCCUAACUCUAUCUUUUGGUGUGUUUUUGCCUUUCACCUCCCUUACCUUUGUAAUCUCUAGAUCUUUCCAUGAUGUUAUCUUAUGCCUACCUUUUGAAAUAUCAUCUUUUCCAUCUCGAUUUGAGAAUGGUGUUUUACCUAUCCUGACCUUGGUUGCAUUCUCUCCCUUGUCGGUUACAAUCAUUGCUUUAGCUCCAUCCUUUAUUAUGCUCAUGCCCCUACUCUCCAUGUCUUAUUAUUCCCCUUGCCUUUUGUUGGCCUUAGAGGAAAGACCACCAUUUAAUUAAAAGGAACGUAUAGAAACGAGAUGUUUGUUGAUGUGUGCUCAUGAUGUUUGUCCUUCUGCUAUGACUGAUUUGCUUCUUUGGAAUGAGUGUUGAUGUGUUGUGGCCCUUGGACCGCAAUGGAAUCUAUUUACUAGGUGAGUGCCAUAGAGUUAAGUAGUUGGGUUCUCCCCCUGCUCUCUCUAAUCCGUCUAUACUUACCUUUUCUCGUUAUUCUUUCCUCUUACACCUGUCCUUUUGGCAACCUCCAACUCCUCCAAAUCAGUCAAGAUCAGAGUCGGCAACAUCUUCAUCAAGUGUGUAUCAAUGCUCUUGUUAAGGGGGUUAGCCGCUAACCCUGAUGAAGACAAUGCGAUUAACAUCAACCAACAAGAUCAGAGUGGCGUAGCGAAAGCGUGUGUGGGUCCUUACCCACAGGUCCAGGAGGUCCUCAAGAAUUGCAUCAAUCGAUCUCAAGCAUCUGAUGGUCAAAGCAACCAAUUCACAAGUCAAGCCGGCGGAGGCAAAGUUGAGUUAGAAAAAGAUAUGAAAGACUAAUGAACCAAUCUCAUUUUCUUGCUAGCCUCUUCUUGAAUCUCGAGGACGAGAUUCUGUUAAGGGGGUUAGAUUUGUAACACCCUGAAUUUGGGGGUAUAAAAUUUCUUUUCUAAUAUCCACCAAAUUCAGGUGUUACUCUCUCAGUUCUUCGCUUUCCUUUCUCUUUUCACUAAAAAUGGAGAAUCAUUUUGUUUUAUAUUAGCGUAAACCUAAUGGAAUGAGCCCUAGAGGCACUUUGGUUGUUGCAUUCAUGCUGUUGCAUAGUGUUUCUAAGUGCAAAAUGUGUUUGAAAUAUGUUAACAUAUCUUAUAGAAGCGCUCGGUAAAUUUUCAUAUUUUUCGGAAUAUUUUUCUAUUUUCCGGAAACCAAAAUCUAUUUAUUUGUGGAACCUAAAAAUGUUUUUAGAAAUUCUAAUUAUAUUUUUUGAGUUCAUUAGGUGCCAAAACAUUUAUAGGAAUUUUUCUGGAAUUUUUGAAAGUAUCUAUAAUAUUUUGAGCACAAAAUAUGGAUUUCUAGACUUUUUCGAAUUUUAAAAAUAGUAAAAUCCGAAUUUUAACUGAAUUUUUAUCUCGUCCAAACCCUAGGUAUAUAUACAUGUCCGGCUUCAUCUCGUCGAGCCCGUUCCAGAACACAAAACGUUUCCCCCAAAUCCAAUCCCUAGCUCCCGGUAUUGCUCGUCGAAGUUCGGGGCGGUUCCAACUCCGGCGACAAAUCCGACGAGCAAUUACUCCCAAUCCGUGCAUCGUCUGCGGAAUCCGAGGGUACCGCUGCAUUCGUCUCGUCGAAGGCUUCGUCGCAGCGCGUUCGGUUCAUUGAUUGGAUCCCCGAAUCUCCGGCAAUCGACGGAUUUCUCCUCGGCUCCGGCGAGGGUCUUCUUCCCCGGUGAGAAACCUCCAUUGUUGCACCUAGGGUUUUUUCGUUUCUUCGUUUUCCCGUCCGUGCAGAGCCUCUCCCACUCUCCCCUCACCUUCCUCGGUGGCGGCGCCCCUCCCCCCUCCGUUUCCCCUCCUUGACGGCGCCCCUUUCUCCCUCCCCGACGGCGGCGGCGGUGGCCGGCGGUGGCGCCCGCGUUCCCGUGCUCCCGCGCCCGCGCGCACCCCUCCCCGGCAGCGGUGGCCGCGCCCCUCGCGCCCCGUGCGGCCGCGCCCACCCCGGCCGGCCCAACCUCGUCCUCCCCUGCGCAGCCCCCUCCCCUUCCUCUCCUCUCUCUUCCAUGGAUGAGAGGAAGAAGAUGAAGAGAGGAAGAAGAUGGCAAUUUUGUAAAUUUAGUCCGCGCGAAUUACAGUAUGUUUUAAAACAUUCAUAACUUUUGCGUUUUAAACCCGAUUCGAUUCAUUCAAGUUGCGUUAGAUUCGUAUUAAAAUUAUCUUAAUUUAGAAAUAUUUAUCCCAAUUUUUUCACAUUUUAUUUAAUUUAGUUAAACGUUUGUUUAACCAGUGGCUACUAAAACGACAUUUCAAUUUAAAAAUCUAAUUUAGGAAUUCGAUUCGCGCAUUUAUAAUUAGUCACCAAUAUGAUUAACCUUAACUGAAAUAUUACUUAUUAAUAAUUGUUUAGUGUAAUCACGUUGUCAUUUAUUUAUUAGUUUCGCAUGUCGGUUCGCGCGUACCGUGCGCGUGCCGCGGUGCUGUUUCACGCAUGUCGUUUGCAAGUGUCGCGCGUGUUGUUCGUACGCGUUGUCGCGUGCCGUUCACGUGUAUCGCGUGCCUUGCCGCGUGCCGUUCGCGCGUAUCGCGUGUUGUCCGCAUGCUAAGUCCUUUGUGUCCACGCGUUGCGCACAUCGUGUUUGCACGUCGUGCGUCGUUAAUUCGUCUCGCUUAGAAUCACUCAUAUUCAUUAAGUUACUUGCUUAAUUGUCAACUAUUAAAAUAGUAAGUUAGUCAAAACUAAGUAGUAGUAUUAAUUUACAUUUGAUUAAUAUCAAUUAAUAUAAUUAUGUUGAAUUAGAUGUUCUAAUUAGUACUUGUUUAACGUAAACGUGCUAACCCCUCGACCAUAGCUUCGUCUAUCAUGGUUCUUUUUCUCGCGUAAUCGUAGAAGCGCUCUCUAUUUUUUAUUGCUCGCUUUUAUAACAUUUUAUCUUGUAUGGUGUAAUGUUCUUAUGCAUAUGUAUAUGUUUGUUUGCUUGUGCCUGUUCGUCUUCGCUUCGCGUUGCGAUUAGAUCGCGAUUCGUUUCUGAGCUUCGAGGAAUCGACGGACAAGCUUCGGCGACCAAAUGACCCAGCUCUUCGAGUUCUACGAAGCUGAAGACCCUGAGCAUCUGUUUGGUGAAGGCAAGUGUCCUCUAACCUAUUAUGUCCAAUUUACUUUAUAAUUCAUCAACCCGCAUACCAUGAUCAACCUAAGGAUUGACUAGCUUUGUAUUUACCUUGUCCUUGAUUACCUUUUGGGUUAUUAUUGUUUAGCUUUAUGCUAUUGCUCAACUCUAAUCAAUGAACAUGAUGAGAAUUAUCAAUGAUACGUUGUUUCCCUCCUUUAUUAUGAUGUUGUAUCUGUGGUAUUCAAGGGGGCUCGAGCGGUUUCUCGAGUGCCUCUCCGUAAGGACCUGUUCGUUGGAUGACCGCCCGGGAAAACAGUGCAACCAUGAGGGUGGAAUGGGAUGCCCUUAGCUGAAUAAUUAGAGGAACCGGGGUGUAGUUCGCUUAGCCGUCGUGCCGUUAAUGGAGCUCGGUGUAUGCGGCUUGCUCUGCCAAGUUUGGUUCGCCCCUUGGGGAGGAGUGCGGUGCAUUUAGGAAACCUAACGGGCGGCUACAGCCUCGGGGAAUCUUUGUAAAGGCUACAUAGUGAAACCCUGCCUAUUCACCUUGGGAGUGUUUAAGGGUUUGAUCGGCCCGAGGCAAG